CCCCAUAGUGCGGUUACUCAGUGAGUGUCCCCCAUAGUGCGGUUACUCAGUGAGUGUCCCCCAUAGUGCGGUUACUCAGUGAGUGUCUCCCAUAGCGCGGUUACUCAGCGCGGUUACUCAGUGAGUGUCCCUCAUAGCGCGGUUACUCAGUGAGUGUCCCCCAUAGCGCGGUUACUCAGUUAGUGUCCCUCAUAGCGCGGUUACUCAGUGAGUGUCCCCCAUAGCGCGGUUACUCAGUGAGUGUCCCCCAUAGUG